AAAAAAGGGCAUACAUGAGAUUAUAUAUUAACAGAAAGCAAUAUCCAAUAAAUAGCCUGUGUCCAUGUAUUUAUUUAACAGAACCUAGCAGAAACCUUUCUGGUCUUGAAAAACAAAAAGUACAAUCCUGGGAGAUGGUGAAAUGGAGUGUUUCGGCUCGGUGGCCAUUUACCUCUGGCAGCCAGAAAGAGAGCGAAUCAAGGCUCAGAACACCCCCUUUGAUGCCAAAACAGCAUUCUUUAUGACAGAUGUAGCUGAGAUGUACCUGAAAGAAUUGAGGACAUUGCCAACCCUUACGACUAUCCAAUGAUCAGCCAGGGUGAAAUCACUGUAAACAGCAUCAAUGACGUGGAGGAGUUCAUUGCCACUGAUGUAUGUUGACAACUGCAAUAUUAUUUUUAGUACCAUUUUUGAGGUGGUACAAAAAGUACAGUCUAUUCUGCCUGAAGUAAUGAGUUUUAUAUUGAGCAAUUUUAAUAAUGUGUCGCUGAAUAAAGCACUUACACACUAUUAUUAAUGUCA
ensembl:lncRNA